GACGAACGCUGGCGGCGUGCCUAAUACAUGCAAGUCGAACGCAGUGGGGACGGGUGAGUAACACGUGGGUAACCUCCCAUCAGAGGGGAUAACACUUGGAAACAGGUGCUAAACCGAUACUGAUGGAUGGACACGCGGUGCAUUAGCUAGUUGGUGAGGUAACGGCUCACAAAGGCCACGAUGCAGAGCCGACCGGAGAGGGUGAUCGGCCAAUCGGGGAUGGGGGCGCGGCGCAAACUCCUACGGGAGGCGGCGGUGGGGGAUCUUCGGCAAUGGACGAACGUCUGACCGAGCGACGCCGCGUGAGUGAAGAAGUGUUUCAGAUCGUAGAGCUCUAUUGUUAGAGAAGCGGUAUCUAACCAGAAGGCCACGGCUAACUACGUGCCAGCAGCCGCGGUAAUUC
rnacentral:rRNA from 1 species